rnacentral:rRNA from 1 species
GACGAACGCUGGCGGCGUGCUUAACACAUGCAAGUCGAACGAUGAAGAAAAGAAUUGAAGCUUCGGCAGAAAUUCAUUUCGGAUUAGUGGCAGACGGGUGAGUAACGCGUGAGCAACCUACCUCUUACAAAGGGAUAGCCUCGGGAAACCGGGAUUAAUACCAUAUAACAUUGCGACGAAGCAUUUCGAUGCAAUCAAAGCUACGGCGGUAAGAGAUGGGCUCGCGUCCCAUUAACCAGAUGGUGAGGUAACGGCUCACCAUAGUAACGAUGGGUAACCGGCCUGAGAGGGUGAACGGUCACACUGGAACUGAGACACGGUCCAGACUCCUACGGGAGGCAGCAGUGGGGAAUAUUGCACAAUGGAGGGAGCUCUGAUGCAGCGACGCCGCGUGAGUGAUGAAGGAAUUCGUUUCGUAAAACUCUGUUCUAUGGGAAGAAAAGGACUGUACCAUAGGAGAAAGCUCCGGCUAAAUACGUG